CACAGCAGACAGCGGUUACUAAACAUACCCAUACAGAGGUUUUUUUGUCUGCAAAGAAGUGAGAUAUCCUGCACAAAUGCGCUCAUUAACACAAGAUGACUUUAAAUGUCAACUACAACAGAUGUACUAGAACUAAUGUCUUUAAAGAGGUAAUAUUUCUCACUUUUUAUUGACACUCAGAGGAAUUCAUUUAACAUUAACAUUAUUAGCGAAUGUGUCAUCAUUACACUACCGCCAUCAUGAACUGUGCCCUGCAGUCCUUUUGCUGGAGCCUGGGUGGCGCUUUGCGCUCCUCUCGCUGUCUCUCUCCCUCCCUCUCUUGCUUCACAGUAAUCAGCAUCACUUCGGCUGCACACCUGUCAUCAAUCAGCCCUUAUCAUCACCUGCAUUUAAGCCUGCCAGAUCCCAGAAACUCUCGCCAGAGUAUUGCAGCUUCUACAGCGGUACCGCGGCUCCUCAGUCUCCAAAUCUCUGCCACAUCACCUUCAAGCCAGCCGCCCAUCCUCAUCACUGCCUGCCACGUAUUCUCUGCCUCAACAACCCGCCAGCGCAUCUCAAGGACCAUCCCCAUUUCCCUUUCAAUAAACUGCUCAUCACAA